UACGAAGGGGGCGAGCGUUGUUCGGAAUUACUGGGCGUAAAGGGCGCGUAGGCGGCCCCUUUUGUCGCGUGUGAAAGCCCCGGGCUCAACCUGGGAACGGCGCGCGAAACGGGGGGGCUUGAGUUCGGGAGAGGAGCGUGGAAUUCCCAGUGUAGAGGUGAAAUUCGUAGAUAUUCGGAGGAACACCAGUGGCGAAGGCGGCUCACUGGACCAUUACUGACGCUGAGGUGCGAAAGCGGUGG
rnacentral:rRNA from 1 species